GGGAACUGCGUUNUGAACUGGGUGACUAGAGUGUNUCAGAGGGAGGUAGAAUUCCACGUGUAGCAGUGAAAUGCGUAGAGAUGUGGAGGAAUACCGAUGGCGAAGGCAGCNUCCUGGGAUAACACUGACGUUCAUGCCCGAAAGCGUGGGUAGCAAACAGGAUUAGAUACCCUGGUAGUCCACGCCCUAAACGAUGUCGAUUAGCUGUUGGGCAGCAUGACUGCUUAGUAGCGAAGCUAACGCGUGAAAUCGACCGCCUGGGGAGUACGGUCGCAAGAUUAAAACUCAAAGGAAUUGACGGGGACCCGCACAAGCGGUGGAUGAUGUGGAUUAAUUCGAUGCAACGCGAAGAACCUUACCUGGUCUUGACAUGUACGGAACCCUCCAGAGACGGAGGGGUGCCUUCGGGAGCCGUAACACAGGUGCUGCAUGGCUGUCGUCAGCUCGUGUCGUGAGAUGUUGGGUUAAGUCCCGCAACGAGCGCAACCCUUGUCAUUAGUUGCCAUCAUUAAGUUGGGCACUCUAAUGAGACUGCCGGUGACAAGCCGGAGGAAGGUGGGGAUGACGUCAAGUCCUCAUGGCCCUUAUGACCAGGGCUUCACACGUCAUACAAUGGUCGGUACAGAGGGUAGCCAAGCCGCGAGGUGGAGCCAAUCUCACAAAACCGAUCGUAGUCCGGAUUGCACUCUGCAACUCGAGUGCAUGAAGUCGGAAUCGCUAGUAAUCGCAGGUCAGCAUACUGCGGUGAAUACGUUCCCGGGUCUUGUAC
rnacentral:rRNA from 1 species